AGUGAACGCUGGCGGCAGGCCUAACACAUGCAAGUCGAACGGCAGCACAGUAAGCGCUUGCUCUUACGGGUGGCGAGUGGCGGACGGGUGAGGAAUACAUCGGAAUCUACUUUUUCGUGGGGGAUAACGUAGGGAAACUUACGCUAAUACCGCAUACGAUCUACGGGUGAAAGCAGGAGAUCUUCGGACCUUGCGCGAUUGAAUGAGCCGAUGUCGGAUUAGCUAGUUGGCGGGGUAAAGGCCCACCAAGGCGACGAUCCGUAGCUGGUCUGAGAGGAUGAUCAGCCACACUGGAACUGAGACACGGUCCAGACUCCUACGGGAGGCAGCAGUAGGGAAUAUUGGGCAAUGGGCGCAAGCCUGAUCCAGCCAUACCGCGUGAGUGAAGAAGGCCUUCGGGUUGUAAAGCCCUUUUGUUGGGAAAGAAAAGCAGCAGGUUAAUCCCCCGCUGUUCUGACGGUACCCAAAGAAUAAGCACCGGCUAACUUCGUG
rnacentral:rRNA from 1 species